AAAGUACUCCCUCCGUCCCAAAAUUCUUGUCUUAGAUUUUUCUAGAUACGGAUGUAUCAAGUCACAUUUUAGUAUUAGAUACAUCCGUAUCUAGACAAAUCUAAGACAAGAAAUUUGGGAUAGAGGGAGUAGUUG
rnacentral:pre_miRNA from 1 species